rnacentral:rRNA from 1 species
UACGGGGGGAGCAAGCGUUGUUCGGAUUUACUGGGCGUAAAGGGCGCGUAGGCGGCGCAACAAGUCACUUGUGAAAUCUCCGGGCUUAACCCGGAGCGGUCAAGUGAUACUGUCGUGCUAGAGUGCGGAAGGGGCUACUGGAAUUCUCGGUGUAGCGGUGAAAUGCGUAGAUAUCGAGAGGAACACCCUGCGGCGAAGGCGGGUAGCUGGGCCGACACUGACGCUGAUGCGCGAAAGCCAGGGGAGCGAACGGG